AUAGGAACUCCCAAUUCUC
rnacentral:snRNA from 1 species